UUCGAUGCUGAUGGUAGACUGACAGU
rnacentral:piRNA from 1 species